AAGGACCAAGAUGAUCUCGCACACACAUCUUCUCUGGCUCCUCGUGCUCGGGAUUCAGGGGUCCAGUGGGGAUGUCGUUGUGACUCAGACCCCCGCAUCCCUGUCGGUGUCUCCAGGAGACACAGCCACCAUCAACUGCAACACCGGUUCAUACAGUACUAGUAGCAUAGCCUGGUACCAACAGAAACCAGGACAAGCUCCUAAGCUCCUUAUCUAUAGCAAAACCUCCCGCCCCUCCGGGAUCCCCGACCGGUUCAGCGGCAGUGGCUCUUCCACUGCCUUCACUUUCACCAUCAGCCGGGUUGAAGCAGGUGAUGCUGGAGAUUAUUAUUGUCAGUACCAUGGUGCAACCCCUCUCACAGUGAUACAGACUGGUACAAAAACCUCCCUUCAGGCUUCAUUGGUUCAUUGCUGCUUCCUUGAGCGCACCCAACUUCUGCCAACGGACCACUCAGCUGAGAUUCUCUACCGCUCUAUCGCUGCACCCCGCACUCCUCAUCUUUCCAGGGCAGCGGUUCUCAACCAGUUUGCCAUGAGACCCUUUCAGGUUGCUGUGUCUUGGGCUCAGCUGCUGCCAUCAGUGCCAGGUAAAAGUGUGCUGCAUGCCAGGUGCACUACCGGACUAGGAAUGGCUGCGGUACCGACACAUAUUCCUCCUGCGUUCAGCUUCUCUGAUUAG